AGAGUUUGAUCUUGGCUCAGGACGAACGCUGGCGGCGUGCCUAAUACAUGCAAGUAGAACGCUGAAGACUGGUGCUUGCACUAGUCAGAUGAGUUGCGAACGGGUGAGUAACGCGUAGGUAACCUACCUCAUAGCGGGGGAUAACUAUUGGAAACGAUAGCUAAUACCGCAUGACAAUUAAGUACUCAUGUACUAAAUUUAAAAGGAGCAAUUGCUUCACUAUGAGAUGGACCUGCGUUGUAUUAGCUAGUUGGUGAGGUAACGGCUCACCAAGGCCACGAUACAUAGCCGACCUGAGAGGGUGAACGGCCACACUGGGACUGAGACACGGCCCAGACUCCUACGGGAGGCAGCAGUAGGGAAUCUUCGGCAAUGGGGGCAACCCUGACCGAGCAACGCCGCGUGAGUGAAGAAGGUUUUCGGAUCGUAAGGCUCUGUUGUUAGAGAAGAACGGUAAUGGGAGUGGAAAAUCCAUUACGUGACGGUAACUAACCAGAAAGGGACGGCUAACUACGUGCCAGCAGCCGCGGUAAUACGUAGGUCUCGAGCGUUGUCCGGAUUUAUUGGGCGUAAAGCGAGCGCAGGCGGUUAUUUAAGUCUGAAGUUAAAGGCCGUGGCUCAACCAUGGUUCGCUUUGGAAACUGGAUAACUUGAGUGCAGAAGGGGAGAGUGGAAUUCCAUGUGUAGCGGUGAAAUGCGUAGAUAUAUGGAGGAACACCGGUGGCGAAAGCGGCUCUCUGGUCUGUAACUGACGCUGAGGCUCGAAAGCGUGGGGAGCAAACAGGAUUAGAUACCCUGGUAGUCCACGCCGUAAACGAUGAGUGCUAGGUGUUAGGCCCUUUCCGGGGCUUAGUGCCGCAGCU
rnacentral:rRNA from 1 species